GCCGCAGCAAGCGACUCGGCGGUAGGGAGCAGCGCGCGCCAGUUUUCGCUGUAAGCUGCUAAGCGAAGGAACGGGAGACAUUUUUUUACGGCUCCUUAUUUUGAGUUCGGCUGUGGUUAUCACGAGAAAAGAAGCAAUGAGGAAUCUGACGACAGUGUUUUUGUUCGCGAUGCUCGCGAUUGCCUCACUAUCACUUGCGGCUCCGAGAGAAGCGAAAGAUAACGAGCAAACCACGGUUGAUCCCAAGGCCUGUCCAGGCUGGGAGGUGUGGCAGGAGUGUUCGGGAAACGACUGCCGUGAGCUUAACUGUGAAGAUCCUGUUCACGGCGGGGAAUGCGAGGAUUGCAAAAGCGGCUGCUAUUGCGGAGACGGAUACUUGAGGAACAAUCUCGGAAACUGCGUCAGCUGGCAUCACUGUCCGCGGGAAUGAAUGCUCUUUUCUAUCCCAUUAAGAACGCUCACUUUUAGCCGUCUCGGCAUAUCUUGCUUGCCAUUUCGUUCGCUUGAGCUGUGUUUUGCAUGUGUGCUCAGCGAAGUUCUACUAACAGCAGAACGGUAAUAGUUUCUCAAGAACAGCAAGCUGUUUUGUUUAGUUGUGACUGAUAUGUGACAGCUGUAUCGACAUUGUUCAUUUCGAGAAAUAAAGAUUUUCAUUUCUGA